rnacentral:rRNA from 1 species
GACGAAGGAUGCAAGCGUUAUCCGGAUUCAUUGGGUUUAAAGGGAGCGUAGGUGGCCUUGUAAGUCAGUGGUGAAAUCUGACAGCUUAACUGUUAAAUUGCCAUUGAUACUGCAAGGCUUGAGUACAGAUGCCGUUGGCGGAAUAUGACAUGUAGUGGUGAAAUACAUAGAGAUGUCAUAGAACACCGAUUGCGAAGGCAGCUGACGAAACUGUAACUGACACUGAGGCUCGAAAGCGUGGGGAGCGAACAGG